rnacentral:rRNA from 1 species
GACGAACGCUGGCGGCGUGCUUAACACAUGCAAGUCGAACGCUGAAGCUUGGUGCUUGCACUGGGUGGAUGAGUGGCGAACGGGUGAGUAAUACGUGAGUAACCUGCCCUUGACUCUGGGAUAAGCCUGGGAAACUGGGUCCAAUACUGGAUACGACAUGUCACCGCAUGGUGGUGUGUGGAAAGGGUUUUACUGGUUUUGGAUGGGCUCACGGCCUAUCAGCUUGUUGGUGGGGUAAUGGCUCACCAAGGCGACGACGGGUAGCCGGCCUGAGAGGGUGACCGGACACAUUGGGACGGAGAUACGGACCAGACGCCUACGGGAGGAAGGAGUGGGGAAGAUUGCCCAAGGGGCGGAAGUCGGAUGCAGCAACGCCGCGUGAGGGAUGAAGGCCUUCGGGGUGGAAACCGGUUGCGCCUGGGACGAAGCGUGAGUGACGGUAAUGGGUAAAGAAGCACCGGCUAACUACGUG